CUUGUAGGGCCUGACCCAAAGCCCACUCAAAUGAGUGGGAGUCUUUCCAUUGACUUCAGUGGGCUUUGGAUCAGGCCCACAUGGG
rnacentral:pre_miRNA from 1 species